rnacentral:lncRNA from 1 species
GAGACCAGGCAAUGGGAAUCCAGGAGAGAAAAUGGGAAAGAGAGCUUAAAAAUGUCCUUAGGAGGUUCAAGUUUUUCCGUGCCUGUGUGAGGUAACUCACUCCGUGGACACCCUCCCCACCUCCAACCAUUCUUCUGUAAAAUUUAUAUUUCUUGCUAACACUCUUGGAGUUGGGGUUAUUUAGAGUUUAUUUGAACAACUAUCUUAAACAUAUAAUUAUAACACAUUUAUUUGACAUUUAUAGAGCUCUAAUUGUGUGCAAGGAACUGUGCAAGAUGCUAGGGCAACAGCAGUCAACAAAGGAGACACAUAGUCCUAGCCUCAUGGAAGGUACAGCCAAGCAGGGGUGACACAUGGUAGGUCAGUGCUGGGAAAGACAAACAUGGUAUGCUGAGGACAUGGAACAAUCAAGGGCAUCCAGGCAGAGGCUGAGUGGAGGAGGAGUUUGCAAGGCUGUGCCAAGAACAUUUUUCAGGGUAGAAUCUACCCCCCAGGCAGAGAUGUGGGGAAUAAAGACCAAAAUGGAAACAGCACUGGCCAAGUCUGAGAGCCACGUGAAAAUAGCACAGCACACUUAGGGAUCUGGGGAUUUGGGAUUGCUGGAGUCAAAGUGUUGAGUGUGAGGGGGUAGAAAAGCAUAAUUAUAUGUAGAGUCAGUGCCUGAACAGUUCAGUCAGAAAAGCACAUUUUUCAGGCUAAGAAACUUGGCCUUGGUCCUGCUUAGGUUUUACAGACAAGAGAUUGCCUUUCUGAAAGCUUACCCUGGAGACUGUGUAGCUAGAUGAUGGGCUGAGAGAAAAGGAGGAAGGUGGAUAUAAGAAAGCUCCUGCAAAAAUGCAGGUGAAAAAUGAUGAGGACCUCCACUGGGGACGGGCAGGAGAGGGCAGAUUUAAGGGAUGUUUGGUGAAACUUUCAAGGGGAACUGCUGAUGGACUGGCAAGAGGAAUCCCAGCAGGAUCAGGUGGCUAUGCUCUGGACGGUUUGCAUAACUGUCAGUGGCACCAUUCACUUCACAUUGUAGUUAUAAUCUCUGUCAACAGUGGCACCUGGAGAUGUGCAGUACACAGCCUAGGCAAUCUUACAGAGAAAUCCUGACUCCAAACUCAUCUGUUUCUAUUACUUUUGAGCUUUGGAGGGAUUUAAAGUUUUUCUUUCUCUUAGGGUUUUAUUUAAGCCAUUUUCUUUUGGAAAAAUCUCAGCUAGCAUCAUAGAGUGCGGUAGGAAAGGAAUGUAAUUGGGAAAUGAUAUUGUCUUAUUUUUCUAUAUAAUUUAGCCACCUUUACACUUAAGAUGGCAGACACGGGAAUUACAUUUUUUUAAUGGAGUUUCCCUCUUGUCACCCAGGCUGGAGUGCAGUGGUGUAAUCUCGGCUCACUGCAACCUCCACCACCCAGGUUCAAGCAAUUCUCCUGCCUCAGCCUCCCGAGUAGCUGGGAUAACAGGCGUGCGCCACUACGGCCAGCUAAUUUUUGUAUUUUUAGUAGAGGCGGGGUUUUACCAUGUUGACCAGGCUGGCCUCGAACUCCUAACCUCAGGUGAUCCACCUGCCUCAGCCUCUCAAAGUGCUGGGAUUACAGGUGUGAGCCACCGUGUCUGGCCAGGAGCUAAACAAUUUGAGGUCAAGAUGUGGCGUUAACAAUGUUCCCACAGAUCACAGAAACACAAGUGGACAGCAGAGGCCCUUCUUGCACUAGUACUUCUACCUGGAUGGGGCCUCAGAGGUCUGACUUUCCACAGGAGAAGAAAAUCUUUGAGAGCCAAUUUUACUGCUGGGUGCUGAUGUUUUCCUCAACUGUCUAAAUAAAUCUUCAGCUAAUAAACAUUUCAAUAAAUCUGUUCUGGUGCCUUCCAUUCCUUAAACUAUACAGCCAGAGAAGAUGGAACAUAUGAGCUUGGAUUCUGUCUCUGUAGCGGAUGCAGGGAUAUAAGUGAGCUGAGUUUUACACAUUCCAAAGGGGCCACUGAUCAGGUACUUCGGGAUGCACUCCAAGUGUCCUGGCUAAUUAAGAUAAACCAAAGAUUAGAAGGCAUUUCUUACUCUAUACACAAAGUCAUGAACUCGUCGUUUUGAACAGCAUAAAUUUACAUGAAAUUUCAAAACUUUGCCCCUCCUUCCCCUUUCUCCCUUGCUGGCAUGUAGCUGUUUUAGUUUGUUCUAGCAGAAGAUAACUAUGUGCCAAGAAUCCAACUGGACACGGACUAAAAUUACUUUCAUCUUAGUGUGUACCUUGGAAGCGUAAAGCGAUUUUUCCUUGGCAACCUUGCAUGGUUAGUCCACACAAACUCCAUCACUAUGAACAUGGGUCUUCCUUUAGAGGUGGCAAAAGCAUCUGUCAGAAUUUGGGGCAGGUAUAGCUGGAUAAAGCAUAUUGUAAACCUAUAAUUUAAUGCAAACUGUCAAAUUUUAAAUUGGCUAAAAUAGUUUUAGAAGGUAUGCAAAAGAUCAAGUAAAAUAUAAGCAUGGUAAGGCACACGAUAAAUGGUUCCAGGGAAUCAGAAUCUAAUACGAAGUUAAGUAAACUGAGUAUUUUGAUUAAGUUCAAGGUUGAGUAGGGAACGUCAUCCAUAUUUUGGGAGAAGUCCUCCAAUGUGAAUAUGAAAUUAUGCUAUGCAUGUGAGAACAACAGUUGUCAUGAACUGAGUACUUCUCACAUCAGGAUUGUGCUUUGCCUGUGGGCCCAGGCUCAACAUGUUAGAUAUCUCCAUUUUAUAGAUUAAAAAAAAAAAAAACAUGAGGCCACUGUCAGUGUCUACAAACAAGUAAGAGGCAGAGUUUCGAUUAAAUUCUAAAUUUGUGAUUCAAAAACCCAGGUUCUCUUUUACACACCUCAUUCCUUCUUUGUAAUUCCAGAGAGCUAAAUAAGUCAUGCCAGAACAUUUUAUUUUCUAUGUGGCUGAGGUUCUACCCACUCAAGAAGGUAAAAAUAAUAGAAAAAGCUUUCUGAUGAACACCUGUGGCACACACCUGUAAUCCCAGCAUCUUGGGAGGACGAG